rnacentral:snRNA from 1 species
CACUCCCUAUCUGGGAACCAUAAAUUAAAUGGAUUUUUGGAACAGGGAGAUGGAAUAGGGGUUUGCUCCGUCCACUCCACACAUCGACCUGGUAUUGCAGUACCUCUAGGCAGGAACGGUGC